UUCCAGCAAAGCAAUUAAAGGUAAACUAAUAUCUCUUUCCCGCAGAUAGCCUGGGAACUCCAAGAUGUGAUAGAAAAGGAGCAAGUCAGCAAAAGGAGGAAAUCAAAGCUACAGAGAUCAAGAGCUAAUGAACUGAUUCUUGUGCAUCCUUCCUCUAACCCAACCUCUCCCCAGCUACCAGGGUGGACCUUUAAAGGCAGAAGUCUGACCAUGUCACUCCCCUGUUUAUAAACCUUCAUGACUCUUCAACGUCCAAGCUUCAUCACCCACCACUACAUCCCCACGUUGCAAGCAAAGACUUUCCAACUUUUGGCCCAGUAGUAGCUGCUUCCCAAAGAUGGCCCCCCAUGAGCCUGCCUCUUGGUAGGCACACCUUGCCCAGUUCCAAUCCACAUUGACUAUGGGCUUGGCCUUGUGACUCAUAUUUACCAGCAGAACAUGACAGAAGUGAUGCCAUUUCCAAACUUAAGCCCUAAAGAAGGUCUGACAGCACGUACUUCUGUGCCUUUGAGAGCUCUGAUACACAUGCCCCGAUUCCCUGCUGGAGAGGCCACGUGGAGAGUGAGAAGCCCUGAAACUACAUAAGAAGAGACAGUGACUCAGCUACCUCAACAUCUCAGCUGAGCACAGCCUGUCAAGUGUCCCUGCCAAGUCACCAUCUGAGAUGUUACAGAUGUUACCUGCAUCUGACUACAGUUACUUGUGAGAUCCCAAGUGAGACCAGCAGAAGAACCAUCCAGCUAAGCCCCA